rnacentral:rRNA from 1 species
UACGAAAAGGUGCAAGCGUUGUUCGGAAUAACUGGGCGUAAAAGCGCUCGAGGCGGGGAGUUCAGGUCGAUUGUGAAAAUCCCCAGGGGCUCAACCUUGGAACUGCAGUCGAAAACCGGACUUCUUGAAUACUCGAGAGGGUGGGGGGAAUUCCUAGUGGAGAAGUGAAAAUUCGUAGAGAUUAGGAGGAACACCAGAGGCGAAGGCGCCUACCUGGCGAUGUAUUGACGCUGAGGAGCGAAAAGUGUGGGGGAGCAAAACAGGAUUAGAUACCCGUGUAGUCC